rnacentral:rRNA from 1 species
CUGAGUACGGCGGAACACGUGAAAUUCCGUCGGAAUCCGGGAGGACCAUCUCCCAAGGCUAAAUACUCCCUAGUGACCGAUAGUGAACCAGUACCGUGAGGGAAAGGUGAAAAGCACCCCGGAAGGGGAGUGAAACAGUUCCUGAAACCGUGUGCCUACAAGUAGUUAGAGCCCGUUAAUGGGUGAUAGCGUGCCUUUUGUAGAAUGAACCGGCGAGUUACGAUUUGUUGCAAGGUUAAGCGGAAAAAGCGGAGCCGUAGCGAAAGCGAGUCUGAAUAGGGCGCAUAAGUAACAGGUCGUAGACCCGAAACCAGGUGAUCUACCCAUGUCCAGGAUGAAGGUAAGGUAAUACUUACUGGAGGUCCGAACCCACGCACGUUGAAAAGUGCGGGGAUGAGGUGUGGGUAGCGGAGAAAUUCCAAUCGAACUUGGAGAUAGCUGGUUCUCUCCGAAAUAGCUUUAGGGCUAGCCUCGAGGUAAAGAGUCAUGGAGGUAGAGCACUGUUUGGACUAGGGGCCCUUCUCGGGUUACCGAAUUCAGAUAAACUCCGAAUGCCAUGUACUUAUACUCGGGAGUCAGACUGCGAGUGAUAAGAUCCGUAGUCGAAAGGGAAACAGCCCAGACCACCAGUUAAGGUCCCCAAAUAUAUGUUAAGUGGAAAAGGAUGUGGGGUUGCUUAGACAACCAGGAUGUUGGCUUAGAAGCAGCCACCAUUGAAAGAGUGCGUAAUAGCUCACUGGUCGAGUGACCCCGCGCCGAAAAUGUACCGGGGCUAAACAUAUUACCGAAACUGUGGAUGAACCUCUUUAGAGGUUCGUGGUAGGAGAGCGUUCUAAGGGCGGUGAAGUCAGACCGGAAGGACUGGUGGAGCGCUUAGAAGUGAGAAUGCCGGUAUGAGUAGCGAAAGAAGGGUGAGAAUCCCUUCCACCGAAUAUCUAAGGUUUCCUGAGGAAGGCUCGUCCGCUCAGGGUUAGUCGGGACCUAAGCUGAGGCCGAUAGGCGUAGGCGAUGGACAACAGGUAGAGAUUCCUGUACCAGUGCUAAUUGUUUAACCGAUGGGGUGACACAGAAGGAUAGGGAAUCGCACGAAUGGAAAUGUGCGUCCAAGCAGUGAGUGUGAGAAGUAGGCAAAUCCGCUUCUCGCGAAGCAUGAGCUGUGAUGGGGAAGGAAAUUAAGUACGGAAGUUCCUGAUUUCACGCUGUCAAGAAAAGCCUCUAGGAAGAGUAGUACUGCCCGUACCGCAAACCGACACAGGUAGAUGAGGAGAGAAUCCUAAGGUGAGCGAGAGAACUCUCGUUAAGGAACUCGGCAAAAUGACCCCGUAACUUCGGGAGAAGGGGUGCUCUAUUAGGGUGCAAGCCCGAGAGAGCCGCAGUGAAUAGGCCCAGGCGACUGUUUAGCAAAAACACAGGUCUCUGCAAAACCGUAAGGUGACGUAUAGGGGCUGACGCCUGCCCGGUGCUGGAAGGUUAAGAGGAGUGCUUAGCUUCGGCGAAGGUACGAAUUGAAGCCCCAGUAAACGGCGGCCGUAACUAUAACGGUCCUAAGGUAGCGAAAUUCCUUGUCGGGUAAGUUCCGACCCGCACGAAAGGCGCAACGAUCUGGGCACUGUCUCAACGAGAGACUCGGUGAAAUUAUAGUACCUGUGAAGAUGCAGGUUACCCGCGACAGGACGGAAAGACCCCGUGGAGCUUUACUGCAACCUGAUAUGGAAUGUUUGUACCGCUUGUACAGGAUAGGUAGGAGCCGAAGAGACGUGUGCGCUAGCAUACGAGGAGGCAAUGGUGGGAUACUACCCUGGCUGUAUGACCAUUCUAACCCGCCACGCUUAGCGCGUGGGGAGACAGUGUCAGGUGGGCAGUUUGACUGGGGCGGUCGCCUCCUAAAGAGUAACGGAGGCGCCCAAAGGUUCCCUCAGAAUGGAUGGAAAUCAUUCGCAGAGUGUAAAGGCACAAGGGAGCUUGACUGCGAGACUGACAAGUCGAGCAGGGACGAAAGUCGGGCUUAGUGAUCCGGUGGUUCCGCAUGGAAGGGCCAUCGCUCAACGGAUAAAAGCUACCCCGGGGAUAACAGGCUUAUCUCCCCCAAGAGUCCACAUCGACGGGGAGGUUUGGCACCUCGAUGUCGGCUCGUCGCAUCCUGGGGCUGUAGUCGGUCCCAAGGGUUGGGCUGUUCGCCCAUUAAAGCGGCACGCGAGCUGGGUUCAGAACGUCGUGAGACAGUUCGGUCCCUAUCCGUCGCGGGCGCAGGAAAUUUGAGAGGAGCUGUCCUUAGUACGAGAGGACCGGGAUGGACACACCGCUGGUGUACCAGUUGUUCCGCCAGGAGCAUCGCUGGGUAGCUAUGUGUGGCAGGGAUAAACGCUGAAAGCAUCUAAGCGUGAAGCCCCCCUCAAGAUGAGAUUUCCCAUUUCUUCGGAAAGUAAGAUCCCUGAAAGAUGAUCAGGUAGAUAGGUUUGGAGUGGAAGUGUAGCGAUACAUGGAGCGGACAAAUACUAAUCGAUCGAGGACUUAACCAAAA